rnacentral:lncRNA from 1 species
UAGCCCUUACCACUUUUCUGCCUUGGAAACAAUGCACACUAUUGAUUCUAAGAUGGAAGGUGAGGGAGGGAGGGAAGGAAGGAAGGAAGGAAGGAAGGAAGGAAGGAAGGAAGGAAGGAAGGAAGGAAGGAAGGAAGGAAGGAAGGAAGGAAGGAAGGAAGGAAGGAAGGAAGGAAGGAAGGAAGGAAGGAGGGAAGGAAGGAAGGAAGGAAGGAAGGAAGGAAGGAAGGAAGGAAGGAAGGAAGGAAGGAAGGAAGGAAGGAAGGGAAGGAAGAAAGGAAGGGAAGGAAGGAAGGAAGGAAGGAAGGAAGGAAGGAGGGAGGGAGGGAAGGAAGGAAGGAAGGAAGGAAGGAAGGAAGGAAGGAAGGAAGGAAGGAAGGAAGGAAGGAAGGAAGGAAGGAAGGAAGGAAGGCAAGGAGGGAAGGAAGGAAGGAAGGAAGGAAGGAAGGAAGGAAGGAAGGAAGGAAGGAAGGAAGGAAGGAAGGAAGGAAGGAAGGAAGGAAGGAAGGAAGGAGGGAGGGAGGGAGGGAGGGAUUUAGGUCCAAAAUGAUAUCACUACUUC